rnacentral:rRNA from 1 species
ACGGGGAGCACCACAACAGGUGGAGCCGUGCGGUUUAAUCGGACUCAACGCCGGGAAACUCACCAGAUAAGACAGCUGAAUGAUAGUCGGGCUGAAGACUCUACUUGACUAGCUGAGAGGAGGUGCAUGGCCGUCGUCAGUUCGUACUGUGAAGCAUCCUGUUAAGUCAGGCAACGAGCGAGACCCACGCCAACAGUUGCCAGCUCGUCCUCCGGGAUGGUGGGGACACUGUUGGGACCGCUCUGCUAAAGAGGAGGAAGGAAUGGGCAACGGUAGGUCAGCAUGCCCCGAAUUAUCUGGGCUACACGCGGGCUACAAUGGGUGGGACAAUGGGUAUCGACACCGAAAGGUGAAGGCAAUCUCCUAAACCCAUCCGUAGUUCGGAUUGUGGGCUGCAACUCGCCCACAUGAAGCUGGAAUCUGUAGUAAUCGUGUCUCAAAAUGGCACGGUGAAUAUGUCCCUGCUCCUU